CCUACGGUGCGCAGCAGUGGGGAAUAUUGGACAAUGGGCGAAAGCCUGAUCCAGCCAUGCCGCGUGUGUGAAGAAGGCCUUCGGGUUGUAAAGCACUUUCAGUGGGGAAGAAAGCCUUGGGGCUAAUACCCUCGAGGAAGGACAUCACCCACAGAAGAAGCACCGGCUAACUCCGUGCCAGCAGCCGCGGUAAUACGGAGGGUGCGAGCGUUAAUCGGAAUUACUGGGCGUAAAGCGCGCGUAGGCGGUCUGAUAAGCCGGUUGUGAAAGCCCCGGGCUCAACCUGGGAAUGGCAUCCGGAACUGUCAGGCUAGAGUGCAGGAGAGGAAGGUAGAAUUCCCGGUGUAGCGGUGAAAUGCGUAGAGAUCGGGAGGAAUACCAGUGGCGAAGGCGGCCUUCUGGACUGACACUGACGCUGAGGUGCGAAAGCGUGGGUAGCAAACAGGAUUAGAUACCCCAGUAGUC
rnacentral:rRNA from 1 species